rnacentral:lncRNA from 1 species
CAGAAUCGCAACCUCCAGCAUUUGCGUAUAAAGCACAUUCCAAUCAGUUGUUUGAAAUAGAGGAACAGCACGAAACUGUGGCAGCUUUUACUUCUAACAGCCAAGGUGCAAUGGGUGGACAAGCGACUAGACUCGAGAGACACCAAUGCAAUAUAUCAACGCCUGCUCAAUUAAAAAAAUACAAAUAGACAACUACAGUCCAAACUUCAAAGUUC